rnacentral:rRNA from 1 species
AACGAACGCUGGCGGCAUGCCUAACACAUGCAAGUCGAACGAAGCCUUCGGGCUUAGUGGCGCACGGGUGCGUAACGCGUGGGAAUCUGCCCUUAGGUGCGGAAUAACUCAGGGAAACUUGAGCUAAUACCGCAUAAUGACCCCGGUCCAAAGAUUUAUCGCCUAAGGAUGGGCCCGCGUCGGAUUAGCUAGUUGGUGAGGUAAAAGCUCACCAAGGCGACGAUCCGUAGCUGGUCUGAGAGGAUGAUCAGCCACACUGGGACUGAGACACGGCCCAGACUCCUACGGGAGGCAGAAGUGGGGAAUAUUGGACAAUGGGCGAAAGCCUGAUCCAGCAAUGCCGCGUGAGUGAUGAAGGCCUUAGGGUUGUAAAGCUCUUUUACCCGGGAUGAUAAUGACAGUACCGGGAGAAUAAGCCCCGGCUAACUCCGUGCCAGCCGCCGCCGUAA